UUAAGUUAAUAAGGGCGCACGGUGGAUGCCUUGGCACUAGGAGCCGACGAAGGACGUGACAAACGACGAUAUGCCUUGGGUAGCUGUAAGUAAGCGAUGAUCCAGGGAUUUCCGAAUGGGGGAACCCAACAGGUAAUACCUGUUACCUACAUCUGUUAAGGAUGUGAGGAGGAAGACGCAGUGAACUGAAACAUCUAAGUAGCUGCAGGAAGAGAAAGCAAAAGCGAUUGCCUUAGUAGCGGCGAGCGAAACGGCAGAAGGGCAAACCGAAGAGUUUACUCUUCGGGGUUGUAGGACUGCAAUGUGGACUCAAAGAUUAUAGAAGAAUGAUUUGGGAAGAUCAGCCAAAGAGAGUAAUAGCCUCGUAUUUAAAAUAGUCUUUGUACUUAGCAGUAUCCUGAGUACGGCGGGACACGUGAAAUCCCGUCGGAAUCUGGGAGGACCAUCUCCCAACCCUAAAUACUCCCUAGUGACCGAUAGUGAACCAGUACCGUGAGGGAAAGGUGAAAAGCACCCCGGGAGGGGAGUGAAAUAGAACCUGAAACCGUGUGCCUACAACAAGUUCGAGCCCGUUAAUGGGUGAGAGCGUGCCUUUUGUAGAAUGAACCGGCGAGUUACGUUAUGAUGCGAGGUUAAGUUGAAGAGACGGAGCCGUAGGGAAACCGAGUCUGAAUAGGGCGCCUUAGUAUCAUGACGUAGACCCGAAACCAUGUGACCUACCCAUGAGCAGGUUGAAGGUGCGGUAAGACGCACUGGAGGACCGAACCAGGGCACGUUGAAAAGUGCUUGGAUGACUUGUGGGUAGCGGAGAAAUUCCAAACGAACUUGGAGAUAGCUGGUUCUCUCCGAAAUAGCUUUAGGGCUAGCGUCGACAUUAGAGAUUCUUGGAGGUAGAGCACUGUUUGGGUGAGGGGUCCAUCCCGGAUUACCAAUCUCAGAUAAACUCCGAAUGCCAAUGAAUUAUGGUCGGCAGUCAGACUGCGAGUGCUAAGAUCCGUAGUCGAAAGGGAAACAGCCCAGACCACCAGCUAAGGUCCCAAAAUAAUUGUUAAGUGGAAAAGGAUGUGGGGUUGCACAGACAACUAGGAUGUUAGCUUAGAAGCAGCUAUUCAUUCAAAGAGUGCGUAAUAGCUCACUAGUCGAGUGACCCUGCGCCGAAAAUGUACCGGGGCUAAAACAAUUUACCGAAGCUGUGGAUACCUUUAUAGGUAUGGUAGGAGAGCGUUCUAUGUGUGAUGAAGGUAUACCGUGAGGAGUGCUGGAACGCAUAGAAGUGAGAAUGCCGGUAUGAGUAGCGAAAGACAGGUGAGAAUCCUGUCCACCGUAAGACUAAGGUUUCCAGGGGAAGGCUCGUCCGCCCUGGGUUAGUCGGGACCUAAGGAGAGACCGAAAGGUGUAUCCGAUGGACAACAGGUUGAUAUUCCUGUACUAGAGUAUGUAGUGAUGGAGGGACGCAGUAGGCUAACUAAAGCAGACGAUUGGAAGAGUCUGUCUAAGCAGUGAGGUGUGAAUUGAGUCAAAUGCUUAAUUCUAUAACAUUGAGCUGUGAUGGGGAGCGAAGUUUAGUAGCGAAGUUAGUGACGUCACACUGCCAAGAAAAGCUUCUAGCGUUUAAACAUACUCUACCCGUACCGCAAACCGACACAGGUAGUCGAGGCGAGUAGCCUCAGGUGAGCGAGAGAACUCUCGUUAAGGAACUCGGCAAAAUGACCCCGUAACUUCGGGAGAAGGGGUGCUGACUUUAAGUCAGCCGCAGUGAAUAGGCCCAAGCAACUGUUUAUCAAAAACACAGCUCUCUGCUAAAUCGUAAGAUGAUGUAUAGGGGGUGACGCCUGCCCGGUGCUGGAAGGUUAAGAGGAGUGCUUAGCGUAAGCGAAGGUAUGAAUUGAAGCCCCAGUAAACGGCGGCCGUAACUAUAACGGUCCUAAGGUAGCGAAAUUCCUUGUCGGGUAAGUUCCGACCCGCACGAAAGGCGUAAUGAUUUGGGCACUGUCUCAACGAGAGACUCGGUGAAAUUUUAGUACCUGUGAAGAUGCAGGUUACCCGCGACAGGACGGAAAGACCCCAUGGAGCUUUACUGCAGUUUGAUAUUGAGUGUCUGUACCACAUGUACAGGAUAGGUAGGAGUCUAAGAGAUCGGGACGCCAGUUUCGAAGGAGACGCUGUUGGGAUACUACCCUUGUGUUAUGGCCACUCUAACCCAGAUAGGUGAUCCCUAUCGGAGACAGUGUCUGACGGGCAGUUUGACUGGGGCGGUCGCCUCCUAAAAGGUAACGGAGGCGCCCAAAGGUUCCCUCAGAAUGGUUGGAAAUCAUUCGCAGAGUGUAAAGGUAUAAGGGAGCUUGACUGCGAGAGCUACAACUCGAGCAGGGACGAAAGUCGGGCUUAGUGAUCCGGUGGUUCCGUAUGGAAGGGCCAUCGCUCAACGGAUAAAAGCUACCCUGGGGAUAACAGGCUUAUCUCCCCCAAGAGUUCACAUCGACGGGGAGGUUUGGCACCUCGAUGUCGGCUCGUCGCAUCCUGGGGCUGUAGUCGGUCCCAAGGGUUGGGCUGUUCGCCCAUUAAAGCGGCACGCGAGCUGGGUUCAGAACGUCGUGAGACAGUUCGGUCCCUAUCCGUCGCGGGCGUAGGAAAUUUGAGAGGAUCUGCUCCUAGUACGAGAGGACCAGAGUGGACUUACCGCUGGUGUACCAGUUGUCUUGCCAAAGGCAUCGCUGGGUAGCUAUGUAGGGAAGGGAUAAACGCUGAAAGCAUCUAAGUGUGAAACCCACCUCAAGAUGAGAUUUCCCAUGAUUAUAUAUCAGUAAGAGCCCUGAGAGAUGAUCAGGUAGAUAGGUUAGAAGUGGAAGUGNNNNNNNNNNNNNNNNNNNNNNNNNNNNNNNNNNNNNNNAAGUAACUGA
rnacentral:rRNA from 1 species